rnacentral:rRNA from 1 species
GACGAACGCUGGCGGCGUGCUUAACACAUGCAAGUCGAACGGAAAGGCCCUGCUUUUGUGGGGUGCUCGAGUGGCGAACGGGUGAGUAACACGUGAGUAACCUGCCCUUGACUUUGGGAUAACUUCAGGAAACUGGGGCUAAUACCGGAUAGGAGCUCCUGCUGCAUGGUGGGGGUUGGAAAGUUUCGGCGGUUGGGGAUGGACUCGCGGCUUAUCAGCUUGUUGGUUGGGUAGUGGCUUACCAAGGCUUUGACGGGUAGCCGGCCUGAGAGGGUGACCGGCCCCAUUGGGACUGGGAUACGGCCCAGACUCCUACGGGAGGCAGCAGUGGGGAAUAUUGCCCAAUGGGCGGAAGCCUGAUGCAGCAACGCCGCGUGCGGGAUGACGGCCUUCGGGUUGUGAACCGCUUUCGCCUGUGACGAAGCGUGAGUGACGGUAAUGGGUAAAGAAGCACCGGCUAACUACGUG